CAUUCUAUAGCAAACCAAGAGGCAUCUGUGGUUCUCAUGACACAAUACAGUACAGAAGUUUGGGCAGACAGAGGGAGACUCCACACUGAGCUGCACUGCUGGUCAGUUGAUUACAGUCAAGCCAUGACAAAUUGGAUCAAAACAUCUCUCAUUUUAGCUGCCUGCUUCUGUGUCUGCAGCGUAAAGGGGGACUCUGUUACUCAACCUAAAGAUGAGACGGGUCUGGAGGGCAGCAUGGUGACACUCAGCUGUCAGUAUGAGACUACUGCCACAGCAGAUAAUCAGUAUCUCUUCUGGUACCAGAAAAACCCAAAUGGAUUCCCCAAGUAUAUGCUGCAAAAAAAUAAUUUUGCUAAUGACACUCAUAAAGACUUUACUGGAAGAUUUACUGUCACGCUUGACACAACAGCAAAAACUGUUCCUCUAACGAUCCAAAAUCUGCAAGUGUCUGACUCUGCUGUGUACUACUGUGCUCUGAGGCCCACAGUGGCAGAUGCACACUCAACACUCACACAAAAACAACAGGAUAUUUGUAAGUCAACAUUGCACAAUACUGAAAUAGCACCCUACCACAAUAGAUUUGUAUUUGACAGUAAAACAAACAGGAUGCCAUCAUGCACCAUGCAUGCAUGCACGGACAGACCCCAUAGACUUCGAUAGAGACAAGUCAAUUAGCAGCACUUUUCCGGUGAUGGCUGAGUGUACUGCAUGCUGCGCAGCCUCAAACUGAGCUUGAUGACAUACUGUAGCUGGGAGCAAGCUGUCUGAAAUGUGUAACUCUUCUGGUAGCUGUGCCAAGA